rnacentral:rRNA from 1 species
UACGGAAGGCAGCAGUGGGGAAUAUUGCACAAUGGGCGAAAGCCUGAUGCAGCUAUGCCGCGUGUAUGAAGAAGGCCUUAGGGUUGUAAAGUACUUUCAUCGGGGAGGAAAAAACAAAACUAAUAAUUUUAUUUCUUGACGUUACCCGAAAAAGAAGCACCGGCUAACUCCGUGCCAGCAGCCGCGGUAAUACGGAGGGUGCUAGCGUUAAUCAGAAUUACUGGGCGUAAAGAGCACGUAGGUGGUUUUUUAAAGUCAGAUGUGAAAUCCCUGGGCUUAACCUAGGAACUGCAUUUUGAAACUGAAAUACUAGAGUAUCGUAGAGGGAGGUAGAAUUCUAGGUGUAGCGGUGAAAUGCGUAGAUAUCUGGAGGAAUACCUGUGGCGAAAGCGGCCUCCUAAACGAAUACUGACACUGAGGGUGCGAAAGCGUGGGGAGCAAACAGGGAUUAGAUACCCGU